rnacentral:rRNA from 1 species
UGGGGAAUAUUGGGCAAUGGAUGCAAGUCUGACCCAGCCAUGCCGCGUGCCGGAUGAAGGCCCUCAGGUUUGUAAACGGCUUUUAUUCGGGAAGAAGAGCAUGGAUUCGCUCUUGUGUGACGGUACCGAAUGAAUAAGCACCGGCUAACUCCGUGCCAGCAGCCGCGGUAAUACGGAUGGUGCGAGCGUUGUCCGGAUUUAUUGGGUUUAAAGGGUGCGUAGGUGGCUUAAUAAGUCAGUGAUGAAAUACAGCCGCUCAACGGUUGAGGUGCCAUUGAUACUGUUAAGCUCGAGACAAGUGGAGGCUGCCGGAAUGGAUGGUGUAGCGGUGAAAUGCAUAGAUAUCAUCCAGAACACCGAUUGCGAAGGCAGGUGGCUACGUUUGAUUUGACACUGAGGCACGAGAGCAUGGGGAGCAAACA